rnacentral:rRNA from 1 species
GGGUGCCUACGGGGGGCAGCAGUGGGGAAUAUUGGACAAUGGGGGAAACCCUGAUCCAGCGACGCCGCGUGAGUGAAGAAGUAUUUCGGUACGUAAAGCUCUAUCAGCAGGAAAGAAAAUGACGGUACCUGACUAAGAAGCCCCGGCUAACUACGUGCCAGCAGCCGCGGUAAUACGUAGGGGGCAAGCGUUAUCCGGAUUUACUGGGUGUAAAGGGAGCGUAGACGGCAGCGCAAGUCUGGAGUGAAAGCCCGGGGCUCAACCCCGGGACUGCAUUGGAAACUACCGAACUAGAGUGUCGGAGG